rnacentral:lncRNA from 1 species
GCUAGAGUGCAGUGGCAUGAUCAUGGCUCACUGCAGCCUUGGAUUCCUGGCCUUUUAAGUGAUCCUCCUGCCUCAGCCUCCUGAGUAGCUAGGACUACAGGUGCAUGCCACCAUGCCCAGCUAACUUCUUUUAUUUUUUUUUUAUUUUUGAGAUGAAGUCUCACUCUGUCGCCCAGACUGGAGUGCAGUGGUGCAAAAUCUUGGCUCACUGCAACCUCUGCCUCCCUGCAACUUCUGCCUCCCGGGUUCAAGCAAUUCUCCUGCCUCAGCCUCUUGAGUAGCUGAGAUUAUAGGCACUUGCCACCAUGGCUGGCUAAUUUUUUUUUUUUUUUUCGUAUUUUUAGUAUAGACAGGAUUUCCACAUGUCGCCCAGGCUGAUCUCAGACUCCUGACCUGGAUCUUCCCACCUCAGCCACUGAACGUGCUGGGAUUACAGCCUGCAAGCAGCAGCUGGUGCCCAGCGUGCAAAUGUAUCACUACCAGCACCAGAGGUUAACAGAUACUACAGCUGGAGCUGCAGAAAGAGCCUCCUGAGGAGCUGGACUCUGCAGAUGAGAAUGAAAGCAGUGACUUUAUGGUGUACAGGUGUCCAGGCGUGGCCCCGAACAGGGAGAUGGUGGUGUGCAACCCUCUUUUUGGCCACUUCUCGCUGUCAGUGCCUCUGCUGGGCCCACGCCCACUGCCCCACUGAAGUGACCCCCAAGGCUGCAGGACACCCACCUGCUCCAUGAGUGGGGAGAGGCAGGGCCCACGCUUCUCAUUACAAAAAUAUGUUCUGACACUCUGAGUACUUGUGGCUGGGCUGGAGAGGCAUUGGGCCCUGGGAUCUCUUGCCAGGGAGACAACCCCCCUGCAACUUUGUGCUAGGUAAUCUUCUGUCCCCUCUUGUGUCUCUUCUUUCCAGUCUGGACCUUCAAAUUGGAGGGGGUGAGGAGAACCCUAAAGCCCAGGCAUCGAUGGGGAAUUCUGGAGACAAAAGCUAAUUAAAGUUCAUUUCAAACCUGUGGGGAGAAAAAUUCUAGACAUAAACCUAAUGUAAAGAAACACAUAAAAUUUUAUUGGAAGACAAAAGAAAAGUGGAAUGAGCA